UAUAUAAGGGAAAGACAUUUCUAUGGGCUAUAGGAAGAACUUGCAUCCCUGAAAUCCGAGGACUAAGCAGAUCCUAAGCUCUUCUUGGUUCCAUCAGAGCUACAUUUCAACCCAGGUACCUUCAUCUCCGGUGGCUGAGGUCGACAUAUUUCUAAUUAAUCAUUUGUCAUCCCAGGAUUAUUUUCCAAGUUUGGAUCAGGAAAUAUAUUUUAAAGUGGU